UACGUAGGGACCGAGCGUUGUCCGGAAUCAUUGGGCGUAAAGAGCGUGUAGGCGGCCGAUCAAGUUCCGCGUGAAAUCUCACGGCUCAACCGUGAGCAGCCGUGGAAAACUGGUCGGCUAGAGUGCGGGAGAGGAGAGUGGAAUUCCUGGUGUAGCGGUGAAAUGCGCAGAUAUCGGGAAGAACACCCGUGGCGAAGGCGGUUCUCUGGGACGGUACUGACGCUGAGACGCGAAAGCGUGGGGAGCGAACAGG
rnacentral:rRNA from 1 species